UUGGAAUUCUAACAUGGAGAAUGCUUGUUUUUCUUUUUCACCCACAUAAUUCUUCCACAUAAUCGGAUCUUCCAAGGAGUUCCACAAAGUCUUCAUCAUGAGUUAUAACUACUAACUGAAAAUUUCUUUGUCCUGAUCGACUCUUGAUAAUUCUAACAAAUAAAUCAAGAAUGACUAUGGAAUGAAAUACAUAAACAUGCAUCAUAAUAUAUUAUUAUCUAUGUCCUUAAAUUGGAAAUGAAAUGGGGUUUAACAUCCUACUGUUCUAUUGAAUAUGGACGUACACUAUACAGUGUGCUAUGAGGAAAAUUUUGCUCAAACAGAGGCACUACAGCCUACUCUUGUAUUGAAAAUUCCAACUUUCAAGGGUUCUUUUACAUACACUACAAUGUGUAAACAGUACCUCGGUUUUUCGUCCCAUCCAAACGACUACAUAUUGUUCCUUGCCAGGCCCUCUGUAAUGCACCACGGACAAGAGAGAGAGAGAGAAAUGGGGUGUAACGUCCACUCGACAUAUGGUUCAACUUUAUUUCAAUAAUUCGCUUGCGCAUAGGGUUCUUUAGCAGUGGGAGGAAACUGGAGGACCCGGAGAAAACCCAUGAGGUUGGACACCACGGACAAGGUCAACACAGGACCUCCCAGUUAGCGGGGACAAUAUAUGACGACUGCAAAACCUGAAUUGUGUAAUUAAUGAGACUAACUAACAAUAGAUUAUGUUUCAGGAAAUGUUCUCUCCGGUGACUUUCCGAUCUCAAUGGGAGAAGUGCCAAACUGCAGAUGGCCAGUAGAAUGUGCAACUUUGAGAGGAUCUAUAGCUGUGUGAGGAAACCAGAGGACCCGGGGAAAAACCAUGAGGCUUGAAGGUAACCAUACUCCUUGUCACAUACAAGCGAGGAAUCAAAACCAAGCCACUUAACUUAAGAAUUGGAAUGUGUGCAUGAUGAAUCCCAGCAAGGUUUUACAGUAAAAUCUCAAAAACAUUCAAUACAUGAACUCUGACCAGUAGAGGGGCAAUUUAGAUAGACUUUCUCGUUUUUUACAAUCAUAGCAAUCUCAGCAAGUUUGGUAAAAAUAUUUUCAAAAACUCGGACUGUAGAGCCUUUUAAAAUGUUUUGUUGAAAGGGGCAAUAACUGCAUAACACUUCAAAUGUUGUUCACUCGGUCACAAUCAGAA